GCGAGACUGAGAGAGCUAGAGAAGGAUAGGGAGGGAAAGAAACAUCCCAAAAUGACCAAGAAAGAAAAGUUGAAGGAUAGAAGGAUGAAGGAGCUAAGACAGAACACCUUGGAGAGAGCAAGGUGGGACGAGAUUAAGAAAGAACAGGAGGAAGAGCGGGAGAGAGAGGAAGAAAGACAAAGGGAGGAGAGAUGGAAGAUGAUGAUGAAGACACAGAAAGCCAAGCAGACCCGGAUUCUGGAAGAGCACAGACACUGCGAGAUGGAGAGAGAGUGGGAGGAGGACCGGCUGAGAAAGCUGGAUGCGGUCACAAACGAGGAACAGGCAGACGUGGUGGUCUAAACUAUUAAGAGUUUUAGCAACCAGGAAAUGGCAGAGUGAUUUCUGCAUAGUGCAACUUUAAGGAGAAAAACAGAAGAAAAUGUUACACACCUACUACAAGUAGGUACACAAAGGAGACAAGGUCUACAACUGGUGUUUGGGAAACUACAUUGGUGUAACCCGCGCAGAGUGGGAAGAAAAGAAGAGGACCAAGCUCCUGAAGACCGAAGCAAAUCGACAGAAGGUCGAGGGGCAAUGGCUCGAAUGGGAGAAAUCCAAAGCCAAAAAGAAACAGAUAACGAAAAUGCAGGAGAGGACCAAAGGCUAUUGACGAUGGAAAAACUUCAAGCUCUGGUGUUUUAGAAGACUGAUAUCUUCUUCUUAUUCUUCAUCGUAUUCUUUAUCUUUUGCUAUUCAGUACUAUCAGCAUUAUUAAUGACAAAUAAAUUGCAAUAUUGACA